rnacentral:rRNA from 1 species
CCUACGGGUGGCAGCAGUGAGGAAUAUUGGUCAAUGGACGGAAGUCUGAACCAGCCAUGCCGCGUGCAGAAAGACGGCUCUAUGAGUUGUAAACUGCUUUUGUACAAGGGUAAACCUGAAUACGUGUAUUCAGCUGAAAGUACUGUACGAAUAAGGAUCGGCUAACUCCGUGCCAGCAGCCGCGGUAAUACGGAGGAUCCAAGCGUUAUCCGGAUUUAUUGGGUUUAAAGGGUGCGUAGGCGGAUUGAUAAGUUAGAGGUGAAAUGUCCGAGCUUAACUCGGGAACUGCCUCUAAUACUGUUGAUCUAGAGAGUAGAUGCGGUAGGCGGAAUGUAUGGUGUAGCGGUGAAAUGCUUAGAGAUCAUACAGAACACCGAUUGCGAAGGCAUCUCACGAAUCCGCGAUUGACGCUGAUGCACGAAAGCGUGGGUAUCAAACAGGAUUAGAUACCCUUGUAGUC